CCUACGGGAGGCAGCAGUGAGGAAUAUUGGUCAAUGGACGAGAGUCUGAACCAGCCAAGUAGCGUGAAGGAUGACUGCCCUAUGGGUUGUAAACUUCUUUUAUAUGGGAAUAAAAUGUUCCACGUGUGGGAUUUUGUAUGUACCAUAUGAAUAAGGAUCGGCUAACUCCGUGCCAGCAGCCGCGGUAAUACGGAGGAUCCGAGCGUUAUCCGGAUGUAUUGGGUUUAAAGGGAGCGUAGGUGGAUUGUUAAGUCAGUUGUGAAAGUUUGCGGCUCAACCGUAAAAUUGCAGUUGAAACUGGCAGUCUUGAGUACAGUAGAGGUGGGCGGAAUUCGUGGUGUAGCGGUGAAAUGCUUAGAUAUCACGAAGAACUCCGAUUGCGAAGGCAGCUCACUGGACUGCAACUGAGACUGAGGCUCGAAAGUGUGGGUAUCAAACAGGAUUAGAUACCCCUGUAGUC
rnacentral:rRNA from 1 species